GGACCCGCACAAGCAGCGGAGCAUGUGGUUUAAUUCGAAGCAACGCGAAGAACCUUACCAGGACUUGACAUCCCUCUGACGUACCCUUAACCGGGUAUUCCCUUCGGGGCAGAGGUGACAGGUGGUGCAUGGUUGUCGUCAGCUCGUGUCGUGAGAUGUUGGGUUAAGUCCCGCAACGAGCGCAACCCUUGUCAUUAGUUGCCAGCAUUUCGGAUGGGCACUCUAGUGAGACUGCCGGGGAUAACUCGGAGGAAGGUGGGGAUGACGUCAAAUCAUCAUGCCCCUUAUGUUCUGGGCUACACACGUGCUACAAUGGCUGGUACAAAGAGCAGCAAUGGAGUGAUCCGGAGCAAAUCUUUAAAGCCAGUCCCAGUUCGGAUUGUAGGCUGAAACUCGCCUACAUGAAGUCGGAGUUGCUAGUAAUCGUGAAUCAGAAUGUCACGGUGAAUGCGUUCCCGGGUCUU
rnacentral:rRNA from 1 species